UGCACGAGACGUCUAUCAAACGUUUUCCAUCUGCGUUGAGUCGUACUCCUUCAGAUGUAUACACUGUUGUGCUUCGUGAAUUAACAUUUUAUCGUGUCAGACAAACAGUAAAACUGAACGAUAAACAUUUAUAAACAAAUCUAUCAUACAUUGUGGAUAAUGGGGUCAUUUCUGUCUCCUGAACUGAGGAGAGUGCCUCCUAUAUCGAGCUUCCCCUGAGGAGUCUGUGAACGGUACUCCCACGUACUCCGAAGAGAACCACGGGGGGGCGAGGCCGUCCUUUGUUAGGGCCCUCCCUUCAGGAAGAGCCAGGACAGAGAGUGGGAGCGCAGCUGAAACCCUUUUCUAUCCCAUCUUUGGUGUCGGGAGCCUCCAUGCAACGGGAGAUCAGACCAGAGUGCGGAUUGGAAAUAAGCAUACUGACCCCCAGACCACAUUUACCCACACCCAUCCGCAGAUUACAAGCCCCUCUGUGGCCGGGGCAUGCCAUCGACAUUAUUAAUGGCUGCUAAAAUGUGGCUACCUCAAGGUCCAGAGUAGAAUAAAUAUCAUUCAUCACCGGUACAAUUCAAACAAGCAAGACAGAUGAGUAUUAAAGUACAUUCUUUUAGCCAGUGGGGAUAAAUGCAGUGUGUGCGUGCGUAUACUUGGAAGGGAUAUGUGUAACAAGAGGGGGAAAAGUGAAAUAUUUUGACUUCAAGUGUACGUAGAGGGCAAACACUGUGUUGAACAUUUAGCGCAUAAUAUCCGUGUUACAAAUAGCCCGUCACACCAUGGUUUAUUCACACUCAAGGACGCUAUAGAGGUCCAAAAAGAUGGCACUUCUGAUUGAUUUGCUAAGGCAUGCAUGCUCACAUUUAUUUAUCAAAGACCGUUGGUUGUCUGCUUCUUAUCCGCACAUGUUUUGUUGCAGAAACAUCUAUGCAGUAUGCCGGAUGAUGUCAUUUUUUAAUACGUCUGCUCAUCUGCAACAUGUUGCUAAAUCGUCCCCGUCGGAUGUUAGAAUGACAUGCAACAGAACUUUUUUUGACGUUAAUGGUUUCGAAAGCAUGCGAAUCUGCUCUUUUUAAUAUUUAUCAUAUGUUUGUACACAAUUGUGACACUAAUGUACAAAUACAAUGUAAUGCUUUCCAGAUGAGAUUUCUGUAAUGCACAUGUUCUAACUGGGCAGCAGUUGUGUCUUUUAUGUUGUAAGAGACCACAGUGUCAGCGAUAGCUCAUAAAUCCUAGCACACAUUUACCAAUAGUUAUUUUAGCACUCACUCAUUCAGUUUUGUGCGUUCAUGGUAUGGUUAUAGUUUCAGAUGAUAAUACCAUGGUACUUCGAUAUUUAAUGAUUACCAUAUUUAUACAGUAUGCUCUGGAAUUUAGGUACCACGCAAGAUAUUUUGCACACAUAAUAGAUGAAUUAUCAUCACAGUAUACUCCCAGAAAGAAAGGUUCAGAAGCGGUCACUGUGACGUACCCUUUAAAAAGAUCGUAAUAUGUAACACACUGUAAGAAAAAGUAUGUGUUCGUGCUGCCUUCAUUUUUAAUUAAUUCAACUUAGAAAUAUUAGUUCAGUAAAAAAAG